rnacentral:snoRNA from 1 species
AACCUAUGGUGAGGGCACUUUUUCAAUAAGUCCUUGAAUCUCUCUCAUGCAUCGUAAAGUGUUUCUAAAUCCAUCUGUACAAAAGAAGAGAUAUCAUUACGUAAUUU